AUCACAAAAUCCUCAAUCCAUUCCAAAUGUUUCGUUCCUCUGUUGUUCUUCAAUCCAUUCGAUGAUGACGCGCAUUUCUUUAUUGAGCUUCGAUCUCAAUCUCUGCUCGCUAAUGAGCUUCGAUUUUUUCUUCUCGUGAAUGUGCUUCGAUCUUCUCUGCUCGUCAAUGUGCUUCGAUCCUCUGCUCCUCUCCUCGUUGAGCUUCGAUUCUCUACUCGUUGAGAUUCGAUCAUCUGCUUGUUGAGCUUCAAUCCUCUACUUCUCUUUUUGUCGAGCUUCAAUCCUCUCUGCUCGCGUUCAUCACCGCCAGUCGCUGUUCGAUUAUCACUGCUCGUGGUUUUGGUGAGAUUCUCGUUUUUGGCAUUCUUCUGCAGGCUGCUUUUUUGUUAGCUUUGGUUGGAUCAGAGGUUGCAUAUUCUGCUGCACAAGCUACAGUGGCAACUCUCUCGGAGGCUUACAAAACAACUAAAAAUCAUCGAUCAUUCCCAAGAAACACAUCACUACAAGGAGAUUGAUAAAAAAAUAUUUACGGAUCUUUGAUGAACACUAAGUGCAAAUUGUGCAUAUAUAGCAAAUUGUUGCGGCAUGACUUCGUAAGAUAUUUCUAUCUUAUAC